rnacentral:rRNA from 1 species
UGGGGAAUAUUGCACAAUGGGCGAAAGCCUGAUGCAGCAACGCCGCGUGAGUGAUGAAGGCCUUCGGGUUGUAAAGCUCUGUCUUUUGGGACGAUAAUGACGGUACCAAAGGAGGAAGCCACGGCUAACUACGUGCCAGCAGCCGCGGUAAUACGUAGGUGGCAAGCGUUUGUCCGGAUUUACUGGGCGUAAAGGAUGCGUAGGCGGAUUUUUAAGUGAGAUGUGAAAUACCCGGGCUUAACUUGGGUGCUGCAUUUCAAACUGGGAAUCUAGAGUGCGGGGAGAGGAGAAUUGGAAUUCCUAGUGUAGCGGUGAAAUGCGUAGAGAUUAGGAAGAACACCAGUGGCGAAGGCGAUUCUCUGGACCGUAGCUGACGUUGAGGCAUGAAAGGCGUGGGUAGCAAACAGGAUUAGAUACCCUGGUAGUCCACGCCGUAAACGAUGAGUACUA